GCAGUGGCGGCCCUAGGGCGGUGCGAGCGGUGCGACUGCACCGGGCGCCGGUUAUGGGGGGCGCCGAAAUCAAUCGAAACGCGCCCGCUUUCGCCACACGUCACCGAAACGAUUAUUAAAAAAAAUCGUUAUUGACCGACGAUCCAUCUGGAGCGCAAACGGGCGGCGGCAGCGUGCAGGGCGGCUUUCUUUGAUAACAGAAGCAGGCAGGCGACGUGCGAGGGAGAGAGGUGAAAUUUCUUUCGUCCGUCGGUCGUCCGUCUCGUCACUUCAGUUGUGUGCGCCGCAGUGUUGUUCUUGAUACGGCAAUUGCCGUAAUAUACGGCAUUCAGGCAUCUUAGGCACCAUAAAUACGGUAUACGGCAGCACUUUGAUUACCGUAUCAAAAUAUACGGCAAUUGAGUAAAGUAGAGUUUUAUGAGUUUUUCAUGAGUUUUUAGUAAACAAAAAAUAAAUAUUUCGUCUAAUGGAACGAAAAAACUUGUAAACCAUAGAUGAAGUAGAAGCGCCACGAAAAGAAACGCCAAAAAUGCAACCUUAUCUCUGAGAUUUUAAUGUCUAAAAUCGUUAUUUUCUCAUUUUGGUAGAUUCUUCACUUUUGUUCGGGUAGGUUCUUGGACUAAAUUAUUCAAAACCUUAAAAAGUGAAGAAUAAAAAAAGUAAGUUUAAAAGUAGUAUACGCAUAGUACAUAAUACAUCACUUGUAUUUUUUUUUAAAUUUAAACUUUCCAAAUAAAGAUUUUAUACAAUACGGCAAUUUUCUUAGUUUUCCUUAAAAAUCCGGCAAUUUUAGAAUUAGAAUACGGCAACCCUAAAUUUGUCAGGAACAACACUGGUGCGCCGCGCCAGUGUCAGUCAACUGUUAGUUGCUGAUGCUUCGCCAGCCUGUUGUCAUUGUUUAUUCUCGCGCAAGUGUAUUUAUUGUGUAUUUAGCGCAAAGUUACUUGUAUUAUUGCUAUUCUAUAGAUUAAACUCAAGGUAAGUACUGUUGCAGCAGGUCGUGUUCGUGUUCAUGUAAGUAUAAUGAAUGUAUAGUCUUUUUCACGUAAGAUGAUCCGUAUGACACUUCAAGGUUAUCCAUAUUACGCAUACUACAUAUGCAGAAUAUUUUUGAAAAAAUAUUUGUAUUUUAUUAGCAAUAUAAUAAAAAAAAAUUAACUACUUGUCUUGAAAUAUAUAGUAAAAUCUGAGUCUAUUGAUUAUAUUUUAAUUAAAUACGAUGUAAAAAUAUUUUUUAUUUAAUGUACGCAAUGUGUGAAACGGAAUAGAUUUAGUGCUGGGGUAUUUCUUGUAUAAUAAAAUCGAUUAUUUCCGCGGUUCAUUAAUCGAUUGCAGUGAAUACUUAGUUAUUAAAAACAUCACAAAAAUCAACUAUAUUUUUCGAUUGUUGACUUUAAUAAACGCAUUGAAAAUAAAUCAAUAGUUUUUAAUUUAAAGAAACAGAAUCAGUACUUUUUAGGAAUCGUUUUUUUGAACACGAACCAUGAAAUUUGAAUAUUAUCAAUAAAAAAUUGUUACAAUAAUAUUUGUAAUUAAAAAUACAUGUUUUUUGUUAAAUAACACCUAUACAAAAUAUUUCUCUAAAAGUAGGUUUUACUAACUCUUCGAAAAAAAUCGAUAGAUAAAUCGCUAUGGUUUAGUUAUGUGACAUCUCUAAAUCUGUCAAACUCGAAACGUCAUACGGAUCAUCUUAGGUGAAAAAGACUAUAGGUACAUAAGUCUACGUCAUUUAGCGAUAUUAGAUCUUGGAUGUAUGUAGGUACUUAAUUAUUUGUUUUUAUAUAUUACCCGACUGCGAUGAACCCUAAAGGAGUGUUAUGUUUUCAGCUCGUAUCUUAAGGGUAUUGCAAUUUGCAAUGCAUUCUAACAGUAGUAAGCGAUUGUUAGGGCAGGGUGGCAUACGACCACGGCUUUCCUCUGAACAUCAUUACAUAUAUAUCUGUGUAUAAAAAUAAAAAUUGUAUGUAAGUUGUCUACUUAAUAGAUGAUAAAUAUUAAAUAGUUUGUUGAGAAGAAUGUCUGUCAAGAAUAUUUUCUUUUUCUAUACUUUUUAGAGCGCGACGCGAGCUUUCCAUAGUCGGGGUGUUUUUUUUUUGUUUUAGUUAUUAAUAUUUUUUUCUUUUUGUAAAGCGAACCUAACUCUGUGAUUUGUUACCGUGGAAGAAAUGGACUUUAUGUAAUCGCAGCAUAUAAUAGGUGUAUUGUAUUACAUUUAAUAAAUUUAUCUUUUACAGAAAAAAAUCAUGUCACUGCCUCCAAAAAAAUUAUCUGGUGCUCAAAACUUAAAAAGAAAACGGAAAAAGCAAGAAGAAUCUGAGAAGGCAGCUAAAUUAUUAUCGAAAUUUUUGAGACCUGAGAAAUCAUCUGAAUCGUUAUCAUCAGAACUAGUUCAACUCCACCACGCAACGGAAGAAGACCUACUUAAUAAAAGUUCUUCAGGCGAAGCUCAUGAAGAUGAAAAACAACACAUUCAAGAAGAUUUACCUGGUAUUCCAGGAACCUCUUCUGGAUUUCAAAAUAUUUCGGAAGAAAUUAUAUCCGAUGUACAAUCAUCAUCAUCUCCUUUUAGAAAAAAAAAAUAUGAUGAUAUUUCAGAAUGGCCAUUCAUUGACUCUGCGACAAGAGAUGAAAUAAUUACUGAAGGCCCUGUAAGUAAUCAAAUGAGUAACGAAAACUACCCAAGGAAACUUGACGGUCGUCAUUUUUCAAAUAUGCAUUUUGAAAGAGUAAUGCCAAAUGGGGAAACUUUCAAAAGAAGAUGGCUCGUGUACUCUAAAUCUGCAGAUAAAGUACAUUGUUUUUGCUGCCGUUUAUUUAAUACAAAUCCCCAGUCUAGAUUGGGAAAAGAAGGAUUUGACGACUGGAGGCACUUAUCAACGCGUCUCAAAAUUCACGAAACAUCCUCAGAUCAUCGACGUGCUGUGAACAAUUGGAUAGAAGCGUCAAUUAGAUUAAAGAACUUCAGUGGAAUAGACAAGCACUUGCAAAAGCAGAUUGAGAGUGAGAAAACACGAUGGGUUGCUAUCCUCGAACGAAUGAUGUCAAUAGUAUUUUUCUUAGCAAGCAAUAAUUUAUCGUUUAGAGGGAGUUCUGGAGCGGAAACUUUAUACACUCCUAAUAAUGGUAAUUUCCUGGGUUUAGUGCAGUUACUGGGAAAAUUUGAUAUUGUAAUGAUGGAGCACCUUCGUCGUGUUGUAAAUAAGGAGACUAAUGUCCAUUAUUUUGGCAAACGUAUUCAAAACGAGUUAAUUGGCUUACUUGCAAGUGAAGUCCGAAAUAAUAUUUUGUCUAUGGUAAAAUCAGCUAAAUACUUCUCUAUCAUACUGGACUGUACUCCUGAUGUAAGCCACGUUGAACAAUUAUCAGUAACAUUCCGUUUUGUCGAUACUAAUGAAGAAGUCGAAGUACGUGAGUGUUUUGUUGCUUACAAGCCGGUAAGUGACUCUUCGGGAGCAGGACUUACUGGAAUCUUUCUAGAUACAAUUGUGCAAGAGUUUGACUUGGACAUGAACGAUUGUCGCGGCCAAGGGUAUGAUAAUGGAGCGAAUAUGGUAGGAAUAAAUAAAGGUGUCCAAACCAGAAUUUUGAAUCAAUAUCCUCGAGCAUUUUUCAAUCCAUGUGGUUGUCACAGUUUGAAUUUAGUGAUAGCUGAUGCAGCGAAAACUUCCGUUAAAUCAGUUUCUUUAUUUGGAUUUCUCCAAAGACUGUUUGUUUUAUUUUCCGGAUCAACAAAGCGAUGGGAAGUGGUAUCCAAGCACAUUGAAGGGUUAUCCCUGAAAAAAGUUUGCGAAACUCGCUGGGAGAGUAGAAUUUCUAGCCUUGCUGCUGUUCGCUAUCACUACUCUUCAGUUCGUGAUGCCCUUCUGAAUCUUCAUGAAGAAACAAAUGACUCAGUCGCUGCAUCAGAGGCCUUGUCUCUAAUUCAAUACAUGGAGCAAUUUGAGUUCAUAGUUACAAUGGUGGCUUGGUAUGAUAUAUUGUUUCAAGUAAACAUUGUAAGUAAGGCUAUGCAGUCUGAAUCUAUGGAUUUACCAAAUGCGUCGCAAUUGCUGAAAAACUGCUCAGAAUUUGUGAAACAGUACCGAGACUCUUCAUCUGCUCUAAUAACAGCUAAGGAAAUAGCAUCUCAGGCUGAGAUAGACCCAAUUUUUAAGGCUGCCCGAUCCCGAAGAAAGAAACGAUUAUUUGAGUAUGAAGCCGUAGAUGAGACACCAUCUGAUCCUGAAGAAUUGUUUAAAAUGAACGUUUUCUACCCUAUGAUUGAUACAAUUGAGAAUGCCUUAGUCACUCGAUUUAAACAACUAUCAAUAUUCAAUGAUACAUGGUCAUUUUUAUACAACAUGAAAAUAAUUCCUGAAAGAUCCAUAUUGGAAAAAGCCUGUAGUGAUUUGCAAAUCAGUUUAACAGAUGGGGAAAAAUGUGACGUGUCUGGUUGUGAAUUGGUUGAGGAACUUAUGAGCUUGAACCCAUUAAUAAAAGAUCUUCAAUCAGCAGAGCCACUUAAAGUUCUCCAACUUAUUAAAAAGAAUGAUUGGCAGGAUAUUUUCCCAAAUGUGUGGACAGCACUUCGCAUCUUGCUGACUAUACCUGUAACUGUCGCUAAAGGGGAACGAAGCUUCAGUAAAUUGAAACUUAUAAAAACUUACCUACGUUCUACUAUGUGUCAGGAAAGACUGUCAGAUCUUGGAAUCUUGUCCAUAGAAAAUGCUAUUGCUCAGAAGCUAAAUUAUUCCGAAUUAAUAAAAAAAUUUGCAAGCGCAAAAGCCAGAAAGGUAGCCAUUUAAGUUUUUCAUUAAAGUGGUUGUUGGAAGUUUUUUUUUUUAAGACUGUAUGUAGCCUAUCAGUUUGAAUAAAAGUUGUGAAACAAAAUUAUUA